UGACACCACAGCAAGUAUACAACCUCCUGAAUGCUGAAGCGGGCCAACCUUCACUGCAUGAUCCCUAUUAUAUACUGAUACUGGACUGCCGCUCUGCAGAGAGAUAUAAGCAGAGUCACCUGGUCACAGCCCGUGCCAGUGUGACGGUGAUGCAUCCAGAACUGGGCUGUUUGAUAAGCUGUGUUCAGCUGCAGGAGUUUUCUAUAAUACUGCUAUACGCUGAAGAAGGCCAAAGUCCAGUUGGCAGUCAGGAGGCACGCGCUGACUCUCCUACUCUCCAGCA